rnacentral:rRNA from 1 species
AUUGAACGCUGGCGGCAGGCCUAACACAUGCAAGUCGAACGAGUGGCGGACGGGUGAGUAAUGUAUGGGAAAGUGCCCGAUGGAGGGGGAUAACUACUGGAAAGGGUAGCUAAUACCGCAUACCAUCGGAUGUGCCGAGAUGGGAUUAGCUAGUAGGUGGGGUAACGGCUCACCAAGGCGACGAUCCCUAGCUGGUCUGAGAGGAUGACCAGCCACACUGGAACUGAGACACGGCCCAGACUCCUACGGGAGGCAGCAGUGGGGAAUAUUGCACACUGGGCGCAAGCCUGAUGCAGCCCUGCCGCGUGUAUGAUGAAGGCCUUCGGGUUGUAAAGUACUUUCGGCGGGGAGGCGUUACUCGCAGAAUAAGCACCGGCUAACUCCGUGCCAGCAGCCGCGGUAAUAC